rnacentral:rRNA from 1 species
AUUGAACGCUGGCGGCAGGCCUAACACAUGCAAGUCGAGCGAGCGGCGGACGGGUGAGUAAUGUAUGGGGACUGCCCGAUAGCGGGGGAUAACUACUGGAAACGGUAGCUAAUACCGCCUACUAUCGGAUAACCCAUAUGGGAUUAGCUAGUAGGUGAGGUAAUGGCUCACCAAGGAGACGAUCCUUAGCCGGUCUGCGAGGAUGAUUCGCCACACUGGGACUCAGACCCGGCCCAGACUCCUACGGAGGCAGAAGUGGGGAAUAUGGCACAAUGGGCGCAAGCCUGAUCCAGCCAUCCCGCGUGUGUGAUGAAGGCCUUCGGGUUGUAAAGUACUGUUGGCAGAGAAGCGGUAUCUGCAGAAAAAGCACCGGCUAACUACGUGCCAGCAGCCGCGGUAAUAC